rnacentral:rRNA from 1 species
AGAGUUUGAUCCUGGCUCAGGAUGAACGCUAGCUACAGGCUUAACACAUGCAAGUCGAGGGGAAACGACAUCGAAAGCUUGCUUUUGAUGGGCGUCGACCGGCGCACGGGUGAGUAACGCGUAUCCAACCUGCCCACCACUUGGGGAUAACCUUGCGAAAGUAAGACUAAUACCCAAUGACGUCUCUAGAAGACAUCUGAAGGAGAUUAAAGAUUUAUCGGUGAUGGAUGGGGAUGCGUCUGAUUAGCUUGUUGGCGGGGUAACGGCCCACGAAGGCGACGAUCAGUAGGGGUUCUGGAGAGGAAGGUCCCCCANAUUGGAACUGAGACACGGUCCAAACGUCCACGGGAGCA